AUAAUCUGGCAUCAUUGCAAUCCUCUAUGAACUCAACCGUUUUUUUGUUUUUCCAUUUCUCUUUUGCAGCCAACAACUUUCAGCAAGCAAGAUCUUUUCGUACAUACGUGUAUAUAUAUUUACACGUGUGCGCGCGCGCAAAUCGCUUUCAAAAUAAAAUCUGUGUUAUUUCUUUGCUUUGAGUAGAUAAAACUAUUCCGUAUUUCAAAGAAGCCUUGUAUAGUGUUACAUAUCUAGCAACCGGCAGCAAAAAAAAAACUUACAUUGCCGCUGGUUAGAUCGAAGUGGAUUGGUACGAUAUGCCAUUUUUCCAUCUACCUGAAUUUGUGUUGAGAAGGGACAAUUCAUUCGAAGCAGAAUAGAAAAGUAAUUUCCUUCCUGGUACUAAUACAUACAUAUAUUAUCACUAGGCCAAAAUCCUUAGGCAUUGGACCUAGAAUGUUAUGUUGUAGUGGAGUGAAUGCAGCUCUUAAUAUGCAGGUAGGAUAUGGUAUGUCUAAAGCUGCGUACAUUUGUAUGAGUUCGGAAUGAGAGGCACUAAUGCAGUCACAUUGAAUAUACAUAUAUGAUACAAGAUGAAUUCUUAAAAUACCAACCAACCCUCUGUACAAGGACCAUUUGAGUCAGUACGGUCUAUUAAGUCCUGCAGAGCGCAUUUAACGCAGAAUCUUCUAAAGUGUAAACUUUUAUGUUAUUAAAGUUCCUCUAAAAAUGGAUAAUAAACACAACCGACCUGAUGAUCGGCGGGUAAUAUGUGCAACAAACUACAAUCAAGCUCAACAGAAAAUUAUUCGUGCGUCCGUAGUAAAUUUUUCACGUGCAGUUGAGGCGGGCGAAAUGCAAUAUUACAACGAACGCCCAAUGAUGCUUGACACAUGGACGCAAACCUCAAACGCCGAUCUUGGUAUUGGCGAGGACUACCUGCAUAAUGCAUACAUAGAAGAGCAAAGACAAAGAGAGAAAGCAUUGUUGGAAAAGAUACGCAUCCUUAAGGCAGAACUGCGGGCGCAUUCAGAGAUGUUAACACAAAUGCAAUCCCUACAUGCACGCGGUAGUUUACAACUACAAAACCAACACAAUCGACAACAACAACAGCAAUCGUUAGUGGCUAACUCGCUAGAUAUGCAACUGCAGGACCUUAACAACCGUGAACAAAGACAAAAACAUGAAGAAAGUACAUCGCCAAAAAUGCAGUUAUAUCACAGACCUUCUAGCUCAAGAAGUACACAGCAAUGCGAGGAAGUUACGUCCAUGUCGAACGUACUUCAUGAGCGUCCAGAACAAAAGCAAUUAGCACAAAAUACACACUCACAGUAUAUAGCACAAGAAGUGAAUGAAGGUGCGGAGUCGACGAGGCAACAAAACGCAUCUAUUUCACAUAACGCACCAAGUACUAUCAUUAAUAAUGCACAUGAGGUACGAACUCGCAAUGUAAAUUACACAAUAGUCGCUGAUGGCGAUGGCAAUGGUCCUGAUGAGCCCAUAGAGAUUGAAAUUGCGGAAGAAAGUGCACACAACUUAAAUUGUUCUGCGGAUUCCGAACGCUUAGAGAUAUGUUUAGCAGAAGAACAGCAACCCGAAGCAAGGGCUAGUUAUGUUAAGUACGAGGUGGGUACUGAGCAAAUUCAACACAAAAAUCAUAUUUCUUCUUCAGUAAGUCCAGUCGGUGCAAAACGACUUAAAAUGUCUACAGAAAGUCUCACACAAAUAUAUGAAGUGCGGGAAUUUUCACAAGAGGCUCCACAGUGUUGUGAACAUCAAACCUGCGAUAUGGCCCAUCCGCAGCCUCUUCUAUCAUUUCCAACAAAUCGUAAUAACGCAAGCUUACUAAAAUUACCCAUCGACCCACAACAGAGAGAUGAUGACCAAAGUACUGCGUCCAAGAAUAAAUCGGAACCGAAAGUUGCUUACUGUUCGAUAGGACCGAACAACACUCGUAUACCUACGAAGAUUUUUGAUGCCAUCAGCUGGACUUCUGCAUCAAUAGCAACACGAAAACUAAUGAUGGCCAUCUUUAAUCGCGAAACCUUAGCCACACAUUCUAUGACCGGGAAGCCGUCGCCUGCUUUUAAAGAUCAUAAUAAACCACUUAAGAAAAUGCUUAAUCCAUUAGCCAUACAAGACAUUAUAUUUGCUGUUACACGUAGGUGUCAAGUUUCGGAGAAGGAGGUGCGUAACGCCAUCACCACCAAGUGCGCCGAUGAAAACAAAAUGUGGAAAUUGGCUCUGGCCAAAACCCAAUCAUUAUGUGAACAUGAUAAAGAAAAUGUCGGCUAAGAUAUAAAAAAAAUAUUGAGAAGUCAAAUCAGUAGAAGGGCGCCCAUGAAUUUGGUUGCUUCAAUGCAAUCCACUGUUAUACUCUAAGGGCCACUUUUUCAAUGUCAGUUUAAACUUAGAUUAAGUAAACUGAGUUUAAAUUGAACAGCUGUCUGGACAUUUGAUUGGCUGAUCUUAGUUUAAACCAGUCAGAUCGGGCGUUUGAACUGAGUUUAAACUACGGCCGUGCACUGAAAAACUGGCCCUAAGACGUGACACCAAUAAAAAAUGAUCACAUUGCGAAUUUAAAUUACAUUGGUUUAUCAAAACGCAACGUUGGAAACGUUUAUUAUCUAAAGGAUACAAACAUACCUGACAACCAGGCCUGUGUUUCAGUAAAGUUAUCACAUACAUUACAUAAAAUAAGUUUAAAACCCCUAUAUAUUAGAAUUAAUCUUAAUUUUACAAAUUAAACAUAUGUACAUAACAUUCACAUAAAAAAGUGCGCUCUGAUAUGUACAUAUAUAUGUAUGUUGAGCUUGUACGUAAAAUAUUAUAGCAUAAUGGAAGAGUAUACCAAAAAUGGGUUAAAUUAAACUAUAAAAUAUUUCAAGUACAUGUAUGUAACUAAUUGCAAUUAUAAUCAAAUGGAGUUUGUUUACCAUGAAUAAUUAUACAAUCACAUAUACCUGAGCUACAUGUAUUGUUACAUAUCUAAAUAGGAACUGCAAAGGACGAAUUUCGUAAACCGCAGUGGUUUGAAGAAGCUGAAACAGAUGACGAACUCUUUGAUGACAAUCGCAAAUUC